rnacentral:rRNA from 1 species
UGAGGAACAUGACCUUCGGCGGGGGAUAGCCGGCCCAACGGCCGGGUAAUACCGCGUACGACCAUUUGGGGACAUCCCCGAGUGGUGAAAGCAGCAAUGCGCCGAUGGAGUGCCUCGCGGCCUAUCAGCUAGUUGGUGGGGUAAUGGCUCACCAAGGCGACGACGGGUAGCUGGUCUGAGAGGAUGGCCAGCCACAUUGGGACUGAGACACGGUCCAGACUCCUACGGGAGCAG